UACGGUAGGGUGCAAGCGUUAAUCGGAAUUACUGGGCGUAAAGCGUGCGCAGGCGGCUAUGCAAGACAGAUGUGAAACUCCCCGGGCUCAACCUGGGAACUGCAUUUGUGACUGCAUGGCUAGAGUACGGUAGAGGGGGAUGGAAUUCCGCGUGUAGCAGUGAAAUGCGUAGAUAUGCGGAGGAACACCGAUGGCGAAGGCAAUCCCCUGGACCUGUACUGACGCUCAUGCNCGAAAG
rnacentral:rRNA from 1 species